rnacentral:lncRNA from 1 species
UUCUUUGUAAAUUAUUUUUUAGUCUAACCGAAUAUGGAUCUUCAAACAUGUUAACCAUAAAUCUCCUUAACUAAUUCAAUACCACAUGAAAUUGUGGUCUAGAACUAUAUUUUAACAGGGGUGGUGGACACUAUUAAAUACUAGUGAGACACUAGAAAAGGAACAAAUACGUAUUACAACACCAGAGAUAACUAGACUUGGGUUAUACAGUCAACCAACCAAUUUAACUUUAUACUUUUGCUCCUAUUGUACAUACAAAAAUACGAUCAAUGUGAAGAAAAAGGAGAUUCUCGAAGUGGUGAUGCAAACGAGCAGGUGGAUUAUCUGGGGAUAUAGAAUAACCUUCUGUUUGGCGAUUAGAGUUUCAAGAAGGAGUCCAUCUUGGAUUAAGAAGGAGCCAAUCUUGGAUUAUGUUAUUGAUCAUGCUUUACUUUGGUUAAAAAGUAGGAAACGUGGUUAUUCUUUUGUCAAAUAAGCCAGGCUUCUUUAGUUUACCAUUCCAAGAAGUAAGUUAUUCUGAAAAUUCCAAAAUACCCACAAAGAUAUAAUAAUGAUUGCAUCGAAAACUUCUUAAUUUGAACUGUAUAAACCUGUAUCAUGACAAGAUAUGAAUAAAUGAUCUCACUUUUCAGUAAUCAAAUCACAAAACAGGCAAAUAACCGAAUCCACACCGAUCCCUCCAUCCAUCAAUUUCAUAUGAAUAGUAAGACAACCGCAAUCUCCAAGCAAAAACAUUUAGUUUAAUUGAAAUAAGAGAGUUUCAUCUUGUAGGAAAUUUCAUGAGACCAAAUAGCAUUAUCUAAAAAAUAUCUAGCCGACACCACACGUACAACUUGUUAGAGUCACUGUUCCAAAGUAUUUUAGCCGAUACAUAUUACCAUAUAUUGUUUAGAUUUGAAUAUAUUGUAUUCUCUUGCACUUAUGUCGUAAAAUCAAAUCCCGGCUUCUUAGGAUCUCCUUUGUAAUCAUGUAUAUAUUCCGGUCAGUUGAAUGAGAAGGGGAAAGGAAUUCAUACCAUAUAUUAUCGCAUCAGGGCCCUAAAAUGACAUAGUCCUAUCUUCUUAAUUAAUUCUUCAUGUCUCAUCUACACACCAUCUUCUUCUCUUCUUCUAUUUGUCUCCCUUCCAUUUUCUCUAUCAAUCUCAAUAUUCAUCAUGGUUAAUACCCAAUACCGAAAGCUACCACAAUUGAAUUUCAUUCUUCCUUCGUUGUGACCAAUAUCAAGAAUUUGUUAGUAUAUUGUAUUUGAUGUAGUCCACUGUAUUAG